UACGUAGGGGGCGAGCGUUGUCCGGAGUUACUGGGCGUAAAGGGCAUGCAGGCGGUCGGGCGCGUUUUGUGUGACAGCGGGUGGCUUAACUACCCGAGUAUGCGAAAGACGGUUCGACUUGAGGGCUCGAGAGGGACACGGAAUUCCGGGUGGAGUGGUGAAAUGCGUAGAGAUCCGGAGGAACACCGAAGGCGAAGGCAGUGUCCUGGCGAGUGACUGACGCUGAGGUGCGAAAGCUAGGGGAGCGAACGGG
rnacentral:rRNA from 1 species